rnacentral:misc_RNA from 1 species
CUCUCUCUCUCUCUCUCUCUGGGGGUGUUUAGAUUGUAAGGGUGUGUAAACAUUUGGUGUGGUUUCAAACUGAACCAACCGAAAUUAGAAAACCAAAAAAGGCAAAAACUAAUAUUAUAGAAGCCAACCAAACUGAACAUUUUUUGUUCGGUUCAGUUCAUCAGUUCUCAAUACACAGAGGCCAUUUCUGAAAUUCUCAAUUCUAGAUCCAAAAUCAAUACAGAAGGAAAAAAAAAACCAAUGGGUCAAUACAGAAAAAAUAUUGCAAUUUCCAAACUGAAUCUCAUAAGAAUCUCAAGAAUCACAAACAAUUUUCAUAAAACAGAAUAAGAAAAGUUGAAUAAAAAAUUAAGGAAAGAAUCAACAAAGACAGAUGCCACACCCACAAGCCACAAACAUGGGCACUGAGUGAGGACCCAUGAAUGAAUGGAGAUCCAUCACAUAAUUUUCAAGAGGGAACGCGAGGCAAAGGGAUAGCCGUUGAGGGAGGCUGUGACUGCGUUUGUACUUCGGAGAUAUGCAUGGCUGAUGAGGGCAAAAGCAUGGCCAUCAAGGGUGGCUUCGUUGAGUGAGGCUUCCGGGCUUGAGGGAGUGAAGGCAAGAAGGACAGGUCACAAGAAGGCAGAGCAAAGGGAAUGGAGGCAGAGGGAUAGGGAAUGAAGAUGAGCUUGAGGGCUAGUGAGACUGAGAGGUGUGACGAAUCUGAGAGUCUCAGGCAUGAAACGAAAGGGAAAAGUGAGGGCAAGGAGGGGAAAUCUUCUUUUUAUACCAACAUUCAAAACAGCAGUGUAUUAAAGGGAGGAAUAUUGGUCUGUUCGGUUAGUUCAGUAAUUUUGAUAGGAUUAACCAAACUGAGCUGAAU